AUAUUGAACAGCCCUAGCUUGAAUCCUAAACCACCAGAAUAAACUUCACAUCAACAUAAUUUUCUAACUUCUAUAAGAGAGCUCACUAAAAAUGCCUUCAGCCAAACACCGGUAAACCACUUCUUCAUAGAACAAAGAGGAAACUCCUAGGAACCAAGCAACCAGAACUCUGUGUGUUUGUUAGAGCAGGUUUAACCCUGUAUCUUAUUGGUGUAUCUUAGUGUAACUAAGAUUAAAAAUAAAUGAGAAAGCAUGAUUUUAGGAAGACACGCUUCCUAAUUAGGAGAAAAAAGAUAUGUAUAUUGUUGGACACCUGUCAAACCGUGAGUGGGUAGAUGAGAAAGUGAAGCGGUCUCGCCUCUUUCUCUCUGUCUCUCUUCUCACCUUCUCUGGUUUCUCUCUGCAAUGGGAGAUUUUCGUUUCUCUCUAUCGACAGCGACUUCUCCUCCGAUCGGUGGCUCUCUGGUUUCUGUCUCUCUCUCGGUGGCUCUCGGUUUCUCUCUCUCUCGAUGGCUGUCGUCGGCUACCUCUCUUUCGGUGUCUCUCUCGACACUUCUCUGGUUUCUCUCUCUCGACGACGACUUCUCUUUCCAUCGGUGGAUCUCUGGUUUCUCUCUCUCUCUCGGUGGCUCUUCCCUCGACGACGAUAGAACUCCCUCUUGGUGUCUCUCCUCGAAGGUAAAGCCAUUGUUGUGUUCUUCAAUUAUGCAUGUAUUUAGAUUAUGCAUGUUCUUCUUCUGAUCAAUUUUGCAUGUUUUUUUGAUUUGUUUGCCUUUUCGAUUCUGUAUCUCGGUUGGUCUCAAGCACGACGGCGAGGGACGGACAACUAUCUCGGUGGCUCUCCUCCGAUCGAAAGAUGGAUGUAUAAAUUUUAAAGUUGGUUUGCAAUGCGAAUGAUGAAGGGAAUUAACCAAGUGCAAGGUCUGCAACAAGCCCUUCAAGGUCAUGCGAAUUAAUGCAAUACAUGUUAGCAAUUACUCUUUGUUCUGUCUCUCUUGUGUGUUAUGGUAACUGAAUUGAUUUAGCUUCUGCUUUGAAUCGAACCGAGUGUAAUUAAUGUUAUGGUUAGCUUUAGUUAAUGGUUAGGUAGAAAUGAAUGGUGUAGUGAUGAAUGUGUUAGCUAGAUGUCAACUCGGUUUGGUUGUGUGUUCAAUGCUUAGAUAGUUCUCUUCAAUCUAUAGAAAAAUAUUCAUCAUCCUCUUCUUUGAAUUCAUUUCAAACCGUGUUUCCUCCUCUCACUUCCUCACUCUUUCCUUCUCCUCUAUCUUUCUUGAUCGUGUUUUGGAGAUGGAUUCCAAUCCAUUUACGCAUACAGGAAACUUUGUUGAUCUACUUCAUAGUCAACAAAGUAUUUCUUUUCCUAACUAUGAAGAUAUCUCGACUCAGUCUUCAUCUCAACUUCAUUCUGUUGGGUUGUGCCAAUGUUGGUGAGAAGCGGGAACGAAAGACGUGGACUCCUACUGAUGAUAUUCUACUGAUCAGCUCGUGGCUCAACACGAGCAAUUAUCCAAUUGUUUCCAACGAGCAAAAAUCAAGCAACUUCUGGAAGAGAGUUGCAGCCUAUUUUGCAGCAAGUCCGAAGGCAGCUGGGUCCGAGGAGAGAACGGAUAAUAAUUGUAAGCAGCGUUGGCACAAGAUGAACGACUUGGUCUGCAAAUUCUGUGGCGCGUACGAAGCUGCAACUAGGGAGAGAAGCAGUGGUUGCAAUGAGAAUGAUGUCCUCAAAAGAGCUCAUGAGAUUUUCUUCAAUAACCAUAAGAAGAAAUUCACUUUGGAGCAUGCUUGGAAGGAAUUGCGAAACGACCAGAAGUGGUGUGAAGUGUCAAGUGCUAAAAAGGCAGGAACCUCUAGGAAAAGGAAGUGUGAAGACGGUGCAGACUCAUCGGCCUCUCAACCAUCUGAGAACAAGCGUCCCGCGGGUGUUAAAGCAUCAAAGGCCGCUGGGAAGAAGACUAUGAGUGAAGAGAAUUCAGUGAAUCGGUUUCAAAGUAUGUGGGACAUUAAACAGAAGGAGUUGGAAGUGAAGGAAAGGUUGUCGAAGAUGAGUAUACUUGACUCUCUUAUUGCAAAGAAAGAACCUCUAGCUGACUAUGAAGAAGCCCUCAAGAAGAAGUUCAUCAGUGACUGAAUGUUUAAUUAGUGUGAAGACAAGGUGAAGACAGUGUCACGGAGUGGAGCAAUCAGAGUCACUGCCUUUGUAGUAUUUGGAGUCUUGUGUCACGUUGUCUCUGUUUCAAGACAGUAUCACGGAGUGGAGCAAUCAGAGUCGAUCAGUUUGUAGUAUUUGGAGUCUUGUGUCACGUUUUGACAUUAUGUCUUGGAGUCAUUUGUUUUGGAGUCUUGUGUCACGCUUGUUUGUAGUUGUACUUGGACAAGUCUGUUUGGAAUCUUGUGUCACGAUGUAAUAUAUUAUCAGUCUUGUUGCAGUUGUCACGGAUUGUAAACUCUUGUUGUUCACUUUUAAAAUUUCAGUCUAUAUAAAGUCUUGUUGUUCACUUCUCACCAUUGACACAAGACAGAAACUCUUCUCUCUUUCUCACCAUUCAAACUCAAGGCAAUUUUUUUUCUAUCCUUUUCACCAUUCAAACUCAACCCAAUCUCAUUCUAUCCUUUUAACCAUUCAAACUCAAACCAAUCUCAUUCUCUCCUUCUCACGAUUAUAACUCAAGGCCUCACGAAUUCUCUCCUUCCCACCUCACCAUUCAAAGAAGAUCAAGCCAAAAAAAAAAAAUAGCAUCAUCUUCUCAUAACACAUUUGAUGGAUCAAUGGAUGAUGCUUUUGAUCAAUAUUUUGAUCAAUAUUAUGAUCAAGCGUUCGAGAAUUUCUCCAAUAACAUUGCUGAUCAAGAAAAAUAAAACCGCGAGCUUACAUCGAAAGAAAUCGUGAAGAAGGCGAUUUACGUUUAUGGCAUGAUUAUUUCAGCGACACUCCAACAUAUCCUCCAAAUCUAUUUCGACGAUGAUUUUGAAUGAACAAACAUUUGUUCAUGCAUAUUGUUCAUUGACUCUCCAAUGAAGUUCAAUUCUUUCAACCAAAAAAAAAUGCUCUCGGAAGGGCCAGUCUCUCUCCACUUCAAAAGUGUACAGCAGCCAUUCAUCUCUUGGCAUAUGGCAAUGUGGCUGAUGCGGUCGACGAAUACCUCCGGCUCGGUUCAACUACAACUCGGUCAUGUUUGGAACAUUUUGUGGACGGAAUAAUUUCCUUAUUCGGCGAAGAGUACCUGAGGAGACCAACACCUGCUGAUCUUCAAUGCUUACUUGAUAUUGGCGAAUAUCGUGGAUUUCCCGGGAUGAUAGGAAGCAUCGAUUGUAUGCAUUGGGAGUGGAAGAAUUAUUCCACCGCUUGGAAAGGGCAAUAUACUCGGGGUUCGGGUAAACCAACAAUUGCUUUAGAGGCGGUUGCUUCAUAUGAUCUCUGGAUAUGAAAUGCGUUUUUUGGACCCCCAGGUACCUUAAAUGAUAUCAAUGUUCUUGAUCGCUCACCUGUUUUUGAUGACAUAAUAAAUGGUGAAGCUCCGCAAGUCACAUACUAUGUCAAUGGAAGAGAGUAUCAUUUGGCUUACUAUCUCACUGAUGGUAUUUUUCCGAAAUGGGCAACUUUUAUCCAAUCAAUUCCAUUACCACAAGGCCCGCAAGCAGUUUUAUUUGCUCAACGUCAAGAAGCUGUCCGAAAAGAUGUCGAGCGUGCUUUUGGAGUCCUGCAAGCCCGCUUUGCCAUUGUCAAAAAUCCAGCACUUUUUUGGGAUAAAGUCAAAAUUGAAAAGAUUAUGAGAGCUUGUAUCAUACUCCAUAAUAUGAUAGUAGAAGACGAACGAGAUGGAUACACUCAGUUUGACGUUUCAGAUUUCCAAGAAGCUGAAGACAACGGAAGUUCACAUGUCGAUCUCACGUAUUCUACAAAUAUGCCUUCAAAUAUCGCUAAUAUGAUGAGUGCUCGAACUAGAAUUAGUGAUAGACAAAUGCAUCAACAACUGAAAGCUGAUUUGGUUGAACAUAUAUGGCGUAAAUUUGGACGUGCUGAAGACAACAACUGAGUUUGUUUUUUUUUCGUUUAAUUUAGUAAUCUUUGUUUUUAUGUUUUUUUUUAAGUUCUAUGUUUAAAAUGUUAUCUUUGUAAUGUUUAAUUAAUUAAAAAAAUUUCCUUUUUAAAAAAAAUUAUUAUUAUUUUAUAAAUGAAGAAUCAUUAAAUAAGAUACAACCAUUGGAGGCCCAAAAUCAUAGUGGUUCUUAAGUGUGUAUCUUAAUUGCUUUUAAUUAGUUAAAUAAUGAUUAGGAUACCCAUAUGAGUAUAUGGGUUAAUCUUGCUCUUAUGUUCCUAUUUUUUUUUUGGAAUAAGUUCUUGGAUUAAUUGGCAUCUAUGCCUCUAAACUGACCCCUAAUUGGCUAAUACAUAUUUUAGAUGAUACAUCAAUUAUUAACAACCUACAAUAACGAUUGUUACAUGCUACAUGUGUUGUUUUAUUUGUUAACUUAUUUUUUAGCAACAAACUUAUCUGUUACAUGAUAAAUUAUAUAUUAUAUAUCUGUUACUAAUUACUAAUACUGAAUUUUAAAGAAUGUAUCACCUAACUUGGUAAUCAAAUAAGUAUCUUAACAGAUACUAUAGUGUUAACUUUUUUGACUUAUAUCAUAUUUCUAUAAAUAUAUGAUAGUAUAUCAUACCAGAAAAUAGUAAUACAUGAUUUCUAACUGUGAAUCAAAGUCAUAUGAGAAUUACUAACCUUCAUCAUCAAUAGAAUUACUAAAAUGAAUUUUGUCGGUUUUAUCAAGAUUUGGUGUUAAAUCAUCUUUGGUUUUCGUUGGAACAUCAAAAAAUUGGCAUCCAAAAUUUUAUGUAUCUAUAUUGAAAAAUGAUAAAUCAACAAAUAUAUUCAAGGAAAAAAAAGAAAUGAAGAAAAAGAAAUGAAGAAAAAAGAACAAAGAGAAUCGGAAAAAAAAGAAAGAGGAUGAGAUUAAGAAGAAAGCGAGAGAAUCAGAAUGAAUUUUGGAGGGAAAGAGAAUGUAAGAAGGGUGUAAAUGUCAAACCGGAACCAAAUUAUAAAAAAAGUUGUCUUUGUGUCAACUCAUAGGUAAGUCACUAAUUUAGGUCUCUAUUAAAGGUAAUCAGCUAAUUCACCCUAAGUUCUUUUUACCUUGUAACCCAAAUAGACUAUGUAUCGAAACUUAUGCUUCCCCAAUGCAUAUAGCAUAUAUAGAAAAUUAAGUAAUAGUUUAGCGAAAUAAAGAUCUUAAUUAUAUGAUUAAUCAUAGAGGGUGGAAAACACACAAAUUUGAUCAUAAAACUAAAUUCUGUAUUGUAAAAACAACUGCAAAGUUGAAAUGUUUUUGUCUACUUGUUUGUUGCAUUCUGUUUGGAAUGUAGGAGUCAGAAGAAACAUGGUUCAGUUCAAUAGUUUAUUGUUUUUGUCAUGUCUCAUUUGAAGAACUAUUGCUUUUUUUCCAGCUGGAAAUCGAAUGAGGACCAUUUAUAAAUUAUAUUGCUUUAGCUAAUUAGGGACCCUUUAGUUUAUAAUAGAAUGAUAGAAAACUAAUUAGAAAUAUACUCGUUUUGCUCUUUUUUUGUUGUAAUGGUUAACGCAGACUGUUCAACGGUUUCUAGAGUAAACUUUUCGGAAGUGAUCUCUUCCAAAAUAUCUUUAACCAAAGAAAAAAAUAUUUUUAUCCGGAGAAUUUUUAUCGUGUAGGCAACGCAAGUGACUGCAGGAAAUCAUUUCGAUUGUUAAAAAGUACGAAACAAGAUAAUCUUGAUAUCAAGUCCAACCAGAUUCGGUUUGGACUUCAUCACUGAUUUCUCUUUUAAUCGUAUUUGUAAGAUUAUAUUUUAUGUCGGGUUAAAUUGUUUUUCAAAAGUUUGUUUUGACUUUGUUGAUGCGAUGUAUCAUAUCAACUGUUAUAUUAUUGUCUUCGAUAGACAAUAUUGAAUAAAUAAAUCUUUAGAUAAAGAAAGAAAACUAAUUGGGUUGUAAUGACAACGAUAAUGCAUGUAAUAAUUCAUAUAAUAAAUUAAUCACCCGGGGACAAAUGAAAGAGCCUUUUCAAUCGAAAGGAUGUAUAUACACAUAAACUUUAAACUGAAUUUGAAAAGAUUGUUUGAGGUUUAGAUAAUGGUUUAGAUAAUCGAGGGCCUAAAUGAGAAUGGACAUCUCAACUUUCUUAUCUUUCCUGAGUAAACCUACAAAUAGGAUGGAAGAGAAAGCUUUUCUCGAUUAAUAUUGAUACUAGGAUAAGACCUGCGCCUUGCGCAGGGUGAGUUUAUUUAUAUAUAUAUUAUCGAUAGUUUUUUUUAUAUAUGUGAUCA